rnacentral:rRNA from 1 species
CCUUCACCAGGCCAAGGAGCCGGCAUCAGACACAACCCCUGUCCACAACGCCUAGUCUCACCACACCCCCAAGGGUCAUCAGCAGUGACAAAUUUUGAGCAUAAGCGAUAGCUUGACUCAGUUAGAGAAAAGAGAGCCGGCCAACCCGGUGCCAGCCGCCGCGGCUACCCCGUGGGGCUCAAGUUGAAGGUCAUCGGCGUUAAGCGUGAUUAAAGUUCUCUUAGAUUAGGGCCAAAUUAAUACUUAGUUGUUUAAAGCUUGUCAUUAAGAGGAACACAAACGAAAGUUGCCCUAACCCACACACUUGAAUACACGACAGCUGGGGGACAAACUGGGAUCAGAUACCCCACUAUGCCCAGCCGUAAACAAUUAAUCCACAACCAUAAGCGCCAGGGAAUUACGAGCCAAGCUUAAAACCCAAAGGAUUUGACGGUGUCCCACCCCCCUAGAGGAGCCUGUUCUAUAAUCGAUGAUCCCCGCUACACCCGACCAUUUCUUGCUUAUCAGUCUGUAUACCUCCGUCGAAAGCCUACCAUGUGAACGCCCCCACAGUAGGUUCAAUGAUCCCCGUCAAUACGUCAGGUCAAGGUGCAGCUUAAGAAAUGGGAAGCGAUGGGCUACAAUUUCUAACCUAGAACAAACGAAAGGCUAUGUGAAAUCAUAGUCACGAAGGCGGAUUUAGUAGUAAAAAGAAAAUAGAGUGUUCUUUUUAACCUGGCUCUGGGACGCGUA